CAAGACGUAGCUUAACUUAAAGCAAUCCGCUUACACCGGAUAAAUAUCUGUGAAAAUCAGAUCGUUUUGAG
rnacentral:tRNA from 1 species